AGAGUUUGAUCCUGGCUCAGAUUGAACGCUGGCGGUAUGCUUAAGACAUGCAAGUCGUGCGGUAGAAGGCUUCGGCCUUUGAGAGCGGCGGACGGGUGAGUAACACGUGGGAAUCUGCCUAUUAGUGGGGGACAGCCCAGCGAAAGCUGGAUUAAUACCGCAUACGCCCUAUGGGGGAAAGCAGCAAUGCGCUAAUAGAUGAGCCCGCGUAAGAUUAGCUAGUUGGUGGGGUAAAGGCCUACCAAGGCGACGAUCUGUAGCGGGUCUGAGAGGAUGAUCCGCCACACUGGGACUGAGACACGGCCCAGACUCCUACGGGAGGCAGCAGUGGGGAAUAUUGGACAAUGGGGGGAACCCUGAUCCAGCCAUGCCGCGUGUGUGAAGAAGGCCUUUUGGUUGUAAAGCACUUUAA
rnacentral:rRNA from 1 species